rnacentral:rRNA from 1 species
GCCCAGCACCGAAUCCUGUACCGUCCUGGUACUAGGAAAUGUGGUGUUUAGGCCGUGCUUUGCGCUGGUACGACUCUCCUCAAGUCCACUUGAUUGUGGCUUCAGGCCCAGAGAGGGUGUAAGGCCCGUGGAGGCGAGUUGUCUAGUGCCCGGCACGUCCUUAGAGUCGGGUUGUUUGGGAAUGCAGCCCUAAGCGGGUGGUAAACUCCAUCCAAGGCUAAAUACUAGCACGAGUCCGAUAGCGAAGAAGUACCGCGAGGGAAAGUUGAAAAGAACUUUGAAGAGAGAGUUCAAGAGUACGUGAAACCGCUGAGAGGCAAACUGGUGGAGCUGAAAUGGCUUUGAGGAAUUCAGCCCUUCGCAUGGCGGAUGAUGCCGGUUGUGGGAUCUCACGACUCCGCUGGUGUUAUUCUGUUGUGUGAUAGGUGCACUUUCCUCUUAGUCGGACCACGACCAGCGAACUGUCUUGUCUAAGAUUUGUGGAAGGUAGCUUCUACUUCGGUCGAAGUGUUAUAGCCACUUAUUUGGAGCGAGCGGUGCGUUGGAUAACUUGAUGCCUGCCCUUCGGGCUCGUACGUUAGCUUUUUUCUGCGGUGUUUCCGGCUUCACUGCUUCGGCAGGGGUGUUGGGGAUACUGUGGUUCGAGUUGGCCUCUGCGAUUGGCGUCUACAGUCAGUGGUUUCGAAGUAGGCAGUCCACCUGACCCGUCUUGAAACACGGACCAAGGAGUCUAACAUGUGCGCGAGUCAUUGGGCUCUACGAAACCUAAAGGCGCAGUGAAAGUGAAGAUCCAUUUUGGUGGAUUGAGGUAGGAUCCUGGGUUACGUGCUCAGGCGCACUACCGGCCCGUUCGACAUGUUUUCAUGCGGGCGGAGCAAGAGCGUACACGUUGGGACCCGAAAGAUGGUGAACUA